ensembl:lncRNA
CAAUAUGAUUUGUCUUUUGGAUGUAAAUCCAACCCAAGAAGAAAGACAGCACACGAAUGCUCCGCAGGUCUUUUUAUUUCAGUAACCGUAACGAAUUUCUAUGCACACCAUAGUAAAAGCACUAGCAGCUACACUACAUCUAAACAUUACUCCGUUUCUGCCUGGAAUGACUCGAGACACAAUUACCAAGCAUGAAGAGUUGUACUUUUUAAGGCAAGUCAAUGAGCUUUCACACACUUGAGACUAUAGGCAAAACAAAACAAAACAAAAAACAGGAAAAGCUGUUUUAUAUCCUGGGUUUGUAAUUUUACACAACAUACUGGAGGUCUGGAAAGACUGGAGUGUGCAGUAGUGAGUGUAGCGUAUCACUGACCUCUUCACUGUUCAUCAUCAUCAGUUUCAGUUUCAGUCGAGGAAAGUGCAAUGAAGAUUAGAGACUAGUUUCUUCUCAAAUAAGGUCACUUUUAAUAAGUGUUCAAGUUGUUUGUUUCUGUCCUUUAUCUAAAGGUUAAUUGUUUAUUAUCUGAGCUGUAUGAGUACGAGAUGCGUUUUAUAUGAGCUCAACAUUUGGAAGCUUUAAUAUUAAAAUAAUGUUCUUUCUUUUCUUCUUCCCUUUCUUUCUUUGUAAACAAAAAUGUAAAAAAAAAAAAAGGUGUAAACAAAAUGUUUUCUUAUUCUUAUAUUGUCUUUCCUUCUUUCACUUUCUUUAUGUCUCCGACUUGUGAUUUUUCAAGUAAAUUUUUUUUCUUUUCUUCUUUCUGUUUUUUUUUUGAGAGGGUUAGAAAUAAUGAAAGAUUCUCUCCUCUAUUCCCUCUUUCAUUUGUCUCCCUCAUCGUUCCAGACGUUGCCGUUUACAUUUUCAAAAGUUAAGGCGUAAAGAGUAUAAAAAUAAUUUCACAUUUCCCUCCAUUCUUUCUUUCGUUCUUUCUUGCGCUUUCAAAUGUUCUCUUAUUCCUCUUUCUUUCACUUGAUCGAUCUUUCAAGCGAUUUUUGCGUUCUUUCAGCUCUUCCUUUUCUUUCCUUCUUUGUCCUUUGAGAGUUUUAGAAAUAAUGAAACAUUUUAUCUUCCAUCUUCUUUCACUUCUGUCUUCCCAUUUAGAUUUUUU